rnacentral:tRNA from 1 species
AAAAAAGAUCGGGGAUAAAAUAGGGCUGCUAACUUUAUUUUGAGUGGUUCAACUCCAUUCCUUUUUUU